UGAUGACGAGACGCUAAGGCGUUGAAGCAGUGUAUGUCAGACUUCCAAGAAAAGCUCGCAAUGUCACAAAUAAAGAAUGCCUGUACCAUAACCGACACAGGUGGGUAGGUAGAGUAUACUAAGGGGCGCGAGAUAACUCUCUCUAAGGAACUCGGCAAAAUGACUCCGUAACUUCGGGAGAAGGAGUGCCUUAUUUAUAAGGUUGCAAUAACAAGAUCCAAGCAACUGUUUAUCAAAAACACAGGUCUCCGCUAAGUCGUAAGACGAUGUAUGGGGGCUGACGCCUGCCCAGUGCCAGAAGGUUAAAGAAGUUGGUUAGUGUAUGCGAAGCUGAUGACUGAAGCCCUGGUGAACGGCGGCCGUAACGAUAACGGUCCUAAGGUAGCGAAAUUCCUUGUCGGGUAAGUUCCGACCCGCACGAAAGGCGUAAUGAUUUGGAUACUGUCUCGGAGAGAGGCUCGGUGGAAUAGACUUGUCUGUGAAGAUGCGGACUACCUGCACCAGGACAGAAAGACCCUAUGAAGCUUUACUGUAACUUGAAAUUGGAAUUGGACUUUGCUUGCGCAGUAUAGGUGGGAAGCGUUGAAAAUAUUCUUGCGGGAGUAUUGGAGCUAUCAGUGAGAUACCACUCUUGUAAUGUUAGAUUUCUAACUUUGAACCAUAAUCUGGUCAAAGAACAGUUUCAGGUGGGCAGUUUGACUGGGGCGGUCGCCUCCCAAAUGGUAACGGAGGCGUACAAAGGUUUCCUCUGAACGGAUAGAAAUCGUAUCUAGAGUGUAAAGGCAUAAGGAAGCUUGACUGUGAGACCUACAAGUCGAGCAGGGACGAAAGUCGGUCUUAGUGAUCUGACGGUACUGAGUGGAAAGGCCGUCACUCAACGGAUAAAAGUUACUCUAAGGAUAACAGGCUGAUCUCCCCCAAGAGUUCACAUCGACGGGGAGGUUUGGCACCUCGAUGUCGGCUCAUCGCAUCCUGGGGCGGUAGUACGUCCCAAGGGUUGGGCUGUUCGCCCAUGAAAGCGGUACGCGAGCUGGGUUCAGAACGUCGUGAGACAGUUCGGUCCAUAUCCGGUGUAGGCGCUAGAAUAUUGAGAGGAGCCUUCUUUAGUACGAGAGGACCGAGAAGGACACACCGCUGGUGUACCAGUUAUCGUGCCAACGGUAAACGCUGGGUAGCUAUGUGUGGAGUGGAUAACCGCUGAAAGCAUCUAAGUGGGAAGCCCACCUCGAGAUGAG
rnacentral:rRNA from 1 species